rnacentral:lncRNA from 1 species
GGGAGCAGCACCCUGAAACGCAGGCAGAGCUGGGAAUGACGUCCGUGUGGGCGGACUGCGCUGUCCGGGUCUUGGACCCGAGAAGAUGCUGGCACCCCAGAUGAAUGGCAUCCUGGUGGAGGAAGCAUGGAUUCCAGAGUGGCCCCUGCCCUGCCCAGGGUAAAGAAUUCUGCUCCUAAACCUCACUCCUCAUGAACAAGUUUCUGGAUCCUGUCCUCCAGUUGGACCACCCUCU